rnacentral:rRNA from 1 species
AUUGAACGCUGGCGGCAGGCUUAACACAUGCAAGUCGAGCGAGCGGCGGACGGGUGAGUAAUGUCUGGGAAACUGCCUGAUGGAGGGGGAUAACUACUGGAAACGGUAGCUAAUACCGCAUACCAUCAGAUGUGCCCAGAUGGGAUUAGCUAGUAGGUGGGGUAAUGGCUCACCUAGGCGACGAUCCCUAGCUGGUCUGAGAGGAUGACCAGCAACAUUGUAAAGGAGACACGGUCCAGACUCCUACGGGAGGCAGCAGUGGGGAAUAUUGCACAAUGGUAGCAAGCCUGAUGCAGCCAUGCCGCGGGUUUGAAGAAGGCCUUAGGGUUGUAAAGCACGUUCAGCGAGGAGGCGUUACUCUCAGAAGAAGCACCGGCUAACUCAGUGCCAGCAGCCGCGGUAAUAC